rnacentral:rRNA from 1 species
CCCUUAGAUGUUCUGGGCCGCACGCGUGCUACACUGAGUGGAUCAGCGGGUCAGGUUGCGCGAAAGCGUUUCCUAAUCUUUAAAUCCGCUCGUGAUGGGGAUUGACGGUUGCAAUUUUCUGUCAUGAACGAGGAAUACCUUGUAAGCGCGGGUCAUCAUCCCGCGCUGAAUACGUCCCUGCCCUUUGUACACACCGCCCGUCGCUCCUACCGAUUGAGUGUGUUGGUGAGGAGUUUGGAUUGGCCUCGGAAGGUGGUUCGCCACCGUCCGUAGCUGAGAAGUUCUCCAAACCGCCCCACUUAGAGGAAGGAGAAGUCGUAACA